rnacentral:rRNA from 1 species
UGGGGAAUAUUGCACAAUGGAGGGAACUCUGAUGCAGCGACGCCGCGUGAACGAAGAAGGCUUUCGAGUCGUAAAGUUCUUUUAUAUGGGAAGAUAAUGACGGUUCCAUAAGAAAAAGCCCCGGCUAACUACGUGCCAGCAGCCGCGGUAAUACGUAGGGGGCUAGCGUUGUCCGGAAUCACUGGGCGUAAAGGGUUCGCAGGCGGAAAUGCAAGUCAGGUGUAAAAGGCAGUAGCUUAACUACUGUAAGCAUUUGAAACUGCAUAUCUUGAGAAGAGUAGAGGUAAGUGGAAUUUUUAGUGUAGCGGUGAAAUGCGUAGAUAUUAAAAAGAAUACCGGUGGCGAAGGCGACUUACUGGGCUCAUUCUGACGCUGAGGAACGAAAGCGUGGGUAGCAAACAGG